CAGAUUCCCAGUAUAAAAUUGCCAAUUAUGACGUCCACAGCAGGCCUGGGUUUCCAGCUUGGGGAAGAACAAGACUGGCAGUUUUGUGAAAUGUAGCAUAAAUAAUCCUAAUCCCUUUCUUGUAUCGAUCAUCCACUAUGUUUUAGGAGUUUUAGAAAAUUUACAUAUAUUAUCCUAUUAAUCUUUCCAAUAAAUCUCUGGCGCUAUCAUUUCUUUUCACGUAGGACAAACCUGAAGCAUAAAGAAGUUCAGCGGUUUGCCUGGAAUAAUGGUAGAUGCAGGACCCACACCCAGGCACACUGCACCUGUCCGGGAAUUCAGGGAGCCUCCAAAGCCUCUGUGUGAAAUACGAACCACUUCCAAACAAGUUAAACUUGAAGACCUGCUUAGUUUCUCAGGCUCAUUACCAAGGAUUUAAAACCUCUCUAUUCAUUCGCCAACAAUAGUUUCCAUGGCAAUUACGGCAACACAUGACAUCCCCUGCAGUUUAAGCUUAAAAACCGCACCAGCGGAAAUGGUUACACAUCAACACAUUCUCCAGGAAAAGCCAG
rnacentral:lncRNA from 1 species